AUUGAACGCUGGCGGCAGGCCUAACACAUGCAAGUCGAACGAGUGGCGGACGGGUGAGUAAUGUCUGGGAAACUGCCCGAUGGAGGGGGAGAACUACUGGAAACGGUAGCUAAUACCGCAUACCAUCGGAUGUGCCCAGAUGGGCAUAGCUAGUAGGGGGGGGAACGGCUCACCUAGGCGACGAUCCCUCGCGGGUCUGAGAGGCUGACCAGCCACACUGGAACUGAGACACGGUCCAGACUCCUACGGGAGGCAGCAGUGGGGAAUAUUGCACAAUGGGCGAAAGCCUGAUUCAGCCAUGCCGCGUGUAUGAAGAAGGCCUUCGGGUUGUAAAGUACUUUCAGCGAGGAGGUGUUACUCGCAGAAGAAGCACCGGCUAACUCCGUGCCAGCAGCCGCGGUAAUAC
rnacentral:rRNA from 1 species